rnacentral:lncRNA from 1 species
CGGAGACUCACUGAAAUCCUGACCCCCUGCAAACACAAGCAGGGCAGAUGCUUCAGGAGAUGGAAGCAGGUCUCAGUGAGCAGCCCGAGCUUUUUGCCUGCGGUGGUGGAGAUUAAUUGGCUUCUGCUGGCUGGCUGCACCAUCUAUGGGAAGCCUGGAUGCUGUCAUCGUAACAGUCAUAAUUCAGGAGGAUAACAAGGCUUUUUACCGAUGGAGUUCACCACUCAGACUUUAGGCAUGUGAGCACCAACUCAGCACAGCCAACGUAUGAAGAUGAGCUGAAAGAGGAAGGUGAUAAUAACAUGGGCUGAGUGCGUUCUAUUUACCCCCGUCAAUGGCCAGGUGCCACCAGGCCUUCCCUGAAGCUGAACUCUGUCUCUCUACCAAGUGACUCUUCAACUCUCCUUUGACGGGCUGGCUUCAAAAAAGUGAGGAAUCAACCAGAUUUUUUUUGCAUAGCCCCAGGGGGAGCACUGCUAGGAUGAAUGGGGGCAGAUCUAAGUUUAGCUGAAGGAAGGAUGCCCUGUGGGUCA